AUCGAUUUUUUCAAGAGUGCUAGCUUGUGCGAGGAUCAUCUUUUUGGCUGAUCUAGAUCUUUUCUUCAAAUCUCUCGAAUCCUUUUAGAGGUUGAAGAUGGACAUCUGGAGAAGAUGGAGAUGUGAAAGAAGAAUGGAGAGGAGACACUCUUCUCUCUUUUUUUUCUCUCUUUCCAAACCAUUAGAAAUAAAAUCCUAAAAAACUAAGUUUUGCGCACACCCAAAGAGAGAGGACUCUCCUCUCUAUUUCUCAUGCCAUGA
rnacentral:lncRNA from 1 species